GAUGAACGCUGGCGGCGUGCCUAAUACAUGCAAGUCGAGCGAACGGACGAGAAGCUUGCUUCUCUGAUGUUAGCGGCGGACGGGUGAGUAACACGUGGAUAACCUACCUAUAAGACUGGGAUAACUUCGGGAAACCGGAGCUAAUACCGGAUGAUAUUUUGAACCGCAUGGUUCAAAAGUGAAAGACGGUCUUGCUGUCACUUAUAGAUGGAUCCGCGCUGCAUUAGCUAGUUGGUAAGGUAAUGGCUUACCAAGGCAACGAUGCAUAGCCGACCUGAGAGGGGGAUCGGCCACACUGGAACGGAGACACGGUCCAGACUCCUACGGGAGGCAGCAGUAGGGAAUCUUCCGCAAUGGGCGAAAGCCUGACGGAGCAACGCCGCGUGAGUGAUGAAGGUCUUCGGAUCGUAAAACUCUGUUAUUAGGGAAGAACAUAUGUGUAAGUAACUGUGCACAUCUUGACGGUACCUAAUCAGAAAGCCACGGCUAACUACGUG
rnacentral:rRNA from 1 species